rnacentral:rRNA from 1 species
AGAUUGAACGCUGGCGGCAUGCCUUACACAUGCAAGUCGAACGGCAGCACGGGAGCAAUCCUGGUGGCGAGUGGCGAACGGGUGAGUAAUAUAUCGGAACGUGCCCAGUCGUGGGGGAUAACGCAGCGAAAGCUGUGCUAAUACCGCAUACGAUCUAUGGAUGAAAGCGGGGGAUCGCAAGACCUCGCGCGAUUGGAGCGGCCGAUAUCAGAUUAGCUAGUUGGUGGGGUAAAAGCCUACCAAGGCGACGAUCUGUAGCUGGUCUGAGAGGACGACCAGCCACACUGAACUGAGACACGGUCCAGACUCCGUA